CAUAAAGUAGCGAGCACGACUCC
rnacentral:miRNA from 14 species